rnacentral:rRNA from 1 species
UGGGGAAUAUUGGACAAUGGGGGGAACCCUGAUCCAGCCAUGCCGCGUGUGUGAAGAAGGCCUUAUGGUUGUAAAGCACUUUAAGCGAGGAGGAGGGUACUGGUAUUAAUACUACCAGCUACUGGACGUUACUCGCAGAAUAAGCACCGGCUAACUCUGUGCCAGCAGCCGCGGUAAUACAGAGGGUGCGAGCGUUAAUCGGAUUUACUGGGCGUAAAGCGUGCGUAGGCGGCUAAUUGAGUCGGAUGUGAAAUCCCCGAGCUUAACUUGGGAAUUGCAUUCGAUACUGGUUAGCUAGAGUGUGGGAGAGGAUGGUAGAAUUCCAGGUGUGGCGGUGAAAUGCGUAGAGAUCUGGAGGAAUACCGAUUGCGAGGGCAGCCAUCUGGCCUAACACUGACGCUGAGGUACGAAAGCAUGGGGAGCAAACAGG